rnacentral:rRNA from 1 species
GAUGGACAACAGGUUGAUAUUCCUGUACUACCGAUAACCGUUUGAGAGAUGGGAUGACACAGUAGGAUAAGCUAAGCACACUGUUGGUUAUGUGUGCCCAAGCAUUGAGGCAGUCAAAGUAGGUAAAUCCGCUUUGAUAAUGCUGGGAUGGGAUGGGGAGCGAAAUUUAGUAGCGAAGUAGCUGAUUUCACACUGUCAAGAAAAGUCUCUAUCGAGG